AUGGCGGAUACCGAAAAGCCUUUGAUAGAGUAGGUA
rfam:Fabibacter sp. 4D4 scaffold1_cov115_read172, whole genome shotgun sequence.